UCUAUUUGCUCCCCUGAGCCACUGCAACCCUACAACCCUGUACUCGACCACCGUUUUCGAUAUGCUCCUCUACGACCAUUUUCCGGCGAGCUUGCUAACAGCGGCUGUCAAUUUUUUAGCGAGUCACUAAGCACUUUUCUCUAUUACUCGGUUGAUUUUGUGGUUUUUAUUAUGUUAUGUCUAGCAGUCAACCUGAUUGAUUGCUUCUUAUCAAUUAAGACGGUGGUGCGAAAAAAGCUCCUGCUAUUAGGUGUUACAACAAUGCUUCUGGCUAACAAAUAUGAAGAGGUCUCAGUUCCAGUUUUUGAAGAUCUAGUACUAAUAUAUAACAAGGAUUAGAGUAGGCAAGAAGUUCUUCACAUGGAGAGACUGAUGAUGAACUCCUUACAAUUCAAUUUGUCGGUUCCCACCCAUAUGUCUUCAUGAAACUAUACCUUAAAGCAGCUUAAGAAUAGACAAAGAAGUAUUCAUUGAUCCGAGGGAGCGGCUUUUCACCUUUGAGGAGAUAGAUGAAGUUCGAGAAAUGUUGGCAAACUUCAUUACCAGUGAUUGUCUUUGAUGUUUUCUUGUACUGAAUCUUAAAUUAUGAAUGCUAGUUUUUCAUAUGAUUGUAAUGUAAUCGACUUUUAUAUUUACAAUUAUAUACUAUUUAAUUUAAUUAUCUAUAUAAUUGGAUACUUUUUAUAUGA